AGCGAACGCUGGCGGCAGGCUUAACACAUGCAAGUCGAGCGGGCACUUCGGUGUCAGCGGCAGACGGGUGAGUAACACGUGGGAACGUACCCUUCGGUUCGGAAUAACGCUGGGAAACUAGCGCUAAUACCGGAUACGCCCUUUUGGGGAAAGGUUUACUGCCGAAGGAUCGGCCCGCGUCUGAUUAGCUAGUUGGUGGGGUAAUGGCCUACCAAGGCGACGAUCAGUAGCUGGUCUGAGAGGAUGAUCAGCCACACUGGGACUGAGACACGGCCCAGACUCCUACGGGAGGAAGCAGUGGGGAAUAUUGGACAAUGGGCGCAAGGCUGAUCCAGCCAUGCCGCGUGAGUGAUGAAGGCCUUAGGGUUGUAAAGCUCUUUUGUCCGGGACGAUAAUGACGGUACCGGAAGAAUAAGCCCCGGCUAACUUCGUG
rnacentral:rRNA from 1 species